UCCUCAUUUCUAUUUCCUCUUCAGGACACCAAGGGCCCUACAAGACACAUGACCUUUCUGCAUACAACAUAAAGCUCAGUUCUCUCUGGCCUCUAUAGUUUGGUUUAGCACCAGGGAACCCAUGACCUCCAAGAACAAGGCACCACUGCAACAACAGCUUCCAUCCACAGCUUCAGGGGCCGAACCAAAGUCUCCUUGAAAUCUUAUGUAAGAGGAUUUGGAAAGCUCAACAAUUCCCCAAAACCCUGACAGGAUAUCUUCCAGGACAAUCUCACCAUCUCACAGAAGCCCUUGACCUGAUGUCUUGCAGUACCACACUCCGUGUAUUUGACAAGCUGAGUUGGACACUCCAUGUGGUAGAGUGUCAGUUUGUCAAAUACCCCAAGUGCGGCACAUGCCUAGCAGCUCCAAACUGGGGCAGAUGAGAUGCAAGAAAUGGACUGCUGGUUGGAUGUAAGAAUGCUCACCCAAAGCCAAGCUUUUCCAAGUCAUAUUUUUGAGAUUUUAAGAGAACUAAAGCAUUGCAUCUGAGGGAGUUGGGGUGAGGGAAUGAGGCAACUCUCUGAGCUCCAGCCCUGGGCUAUGUCUAUAUGCAUUUUUUUUUCUUCACACAUUUUUAUAAUGCUGAAAAGCAUACAAUAAUCUUGAAAAAAAUAAGAAUACGGAGACAUAGCUGCUCUUGGUUUUUCUUUUUUGAUUCUUUUCUUUCUUCAUAUUCCCUUUCCAGUCUCAUAGCCAGGGCAACAGAAUUCUUACACAAGCAUUUUGGCUUAUGUGAUGAAGCAGGAUGUAGAAAUACACUUUCUUAUCACUUGUUCUUACUUUCUAAGUGAACUUUAACCUUGCACAUCUCUCCCCUUUUCCUUUUUUUUGAACAUUCCCAUUUCUUCAUGCCUGUCCAAUUCUUCAUCAUAUUUCCUGGUCUCACCAAAAUUCAAUCUCAUUUUGACAGUUAACCUACACUUCUUUUUUUCUCGUUCACAAAACACUCUUUGCCUGGGUCCUGGUAUGUGUUACUAUAUCUCUUACCACCUAUUAUAAACUUUUGGAGUGUUAUUGAUAUAUUUCAGGGGAAUACUCUUGAAUUCCCCAUUACAUGUGAGCUUCUAGAGGAUAAAACUCUUUCCUUGAUUCCUGUCAUCCACAAUAGUCCAUAAUUUUGACUUAACAAAAUAUUCAAUAAAUGUUUAAUGAAUGAUUUAUUUUUCAAUAGUUCAGUAGCCUUUGGUCUUGAUUUAUUUUCCAUUAGUUCAUUAACUUUGGGUCUUCGUGUCAAAUGUCACUCAGGAUUUUGUGAAAAAUAUCAAACUGUAAGGGAGAGAUAAAUGAAAUGGAGGUCAAGGAUCAAAAAUGAUUAAUACAUGCCAUAUUCAUGUACCAAGUUCCUAAAAUAAGUAUAAUUAUUAUACGCUACAAGCAUAUGCUAAGAAAUCAAAUUUAGGAUUACACAAUACUACAGGGUAUAUGAAGUACUAGCUAAUAUUGAAGUUUUUCUUCCUAAGAAAUAAGGCCAAGAGCUGGAGGAGGAGUUAAAGAUAUAGAUUCAGAGGGUAAAUGCAUUUUGGAAUUGAUUAUGCAAGGCUACACAUUUACUUUAUUGUAAGACUUAUAGAGCCUUUAUUAUUUUAGUAUUGCAAAUAAAUCAGACUCAUAUGUAUAAACAUUGUAUUGUCUCCUUAGUUUGAGAAGCUGAAAGUGUAAAUAAGAUCCAAAGUGUACAAUAGAUUUUGAGAAAUGUGAAGAAACUGUUGAAAAGGAAUGAGAAACUUAGAUGGGGAAAAAGAGAAAAAAAGGAAGAGGGAAAAAUAGUUAAGAAGGUUAUACUAUAAAUUUCUCUCAGUUCACUGAAAACAAAGGUUUGUGCUAAUAUUGUUUGGACAACAGAAAUACUAUAUUUUGUACUCUGAGAAACUAAUUUAAAGAUAACAGUAUGAAAUGUAUCAACCAUUGUUACUCUCCUCUUAUCUUGUUAUGAAAUUUUGUUUUAUUUUUUGACUUUAAAAUAAAAUUUGAAAAAAUA